UACGUAGGGGUCGAGCGUUGUCCGGAGUUACUGGGCGUAAAGAGCUCGUAGGUGGUUUGUCGCGUUGUCCGUGAAAUCCCCUGGCUUAACUGGGGGCGUGCGGGCGAUACGGGCAGACUGGAGUACUGCAGGGGAGACUGGAAUUCCUGGUGUAGCGGUGGAAUGCGCAGAUAUCAGGAGGAACACCGGUGGCGAAGGCGGGUCUCUGGGCAGUAACUGACGCUGAGGAGCGAAAGCGUGGGGAGCGAACAGG
rnacentral:rRNA from 1 species